rnacentral:rRNA from 1 species
CCUACGGGGGGCUGCAGUGAGGAAUAUUGGUCAAUGGGCGCGAGCCUGAACCAGCCAAGUAGCGUGAAGGAUGACUGCCCUACGGGUUGUAAACUUCUUUUAUAAAGGAAUAAAGUGAGGCACGUGUACCUUUUUGCAUGUACUUUAUGAAUAAGGAUCGGCUAACUCCGUGCCAGCAGCCGCGGUAAUACGGAGGAUACGAGCGUUAUCCGGAUUUAUUGGGUUUAAAGGGUGCGUAGAUGGUUUGUUAAGUCAGUUGUGAAAGUGUGCGGCUCAACCGUAAAAUUGCAAUUGAUACUGGCAGUCUAGAGUACAGUUGAGGUAGGCGGAAUACGUGGUGUAGCGGUGAAAUGCUUAGAUAUCACGAAGAACCCCGAUUGCGAAGGCAGCUUACUAAACUGCCACUGACAUUGAUGCUCGAAAGUGUGGGUAUCAAACAGGAUUAGAUACCCGUGUAGUC